rnacentral:tRNA from 1 species
ACCUGGGUGGCUCAGUGGUUGAGCAUCUGCCUUUGACUCAGGUCGUGAUCCCAGGGUCCUGGGUUCAAGUCCCACAUUGGGUC